rnacentral:rRNA from 1 species
GAUGAACGCUGGCGGCGUGCCUAAUACAUGCAAGUAGAACGCUGAAGGAGGACCUUGCUCUUCUGGUUGAGUUGCGAACGGGUGAGUAACGCGUAGGUAACCUGCCUGUUAGCGUGGGAUAACUACUGGAAACUAUAGCUAAUACCGCAUGACAACAGCUACUGCAUGAUAACUGUUUAAAAGUGGCAACUGCUCCACUACCAGAUGCACCUGCGGUGUAUUAGCUAGUUGGUGAGGUAACGGCUCACCAAGGCGAGGAUACAUAGCCGAACUGAGAGGGGGAGCGGCCGCACUGGGACUGAGACACGGCCCAGACGCAUACGGGAGGCAGCAGUAGGGAAACGGGAGGAAGGGACGGAAGUCUGAGCGAGAAAGGCGGCGGGAGUGAGGAAGGAUGUCGGAUGGUGAAGGUCUGUUGUAAGAGUAGAACGAGUGUGAGAGUGGAAAGAACACAGUGUGACGGUAUCGUAUCAGAAAGGAACGGCUAACUACGUG